CUAUACUGUUGAAACUUGGUAAGUAGAUGUAUUCUGUGAACCGCAUUAAGAUUUUUACACAAAAAUAGAAAAAAAACUAUAAAUUUUUGUGGUUCCCCAUACUUCGAACUGAAACUCAAAAAUUUUUUUUUCAUCAAACCCAUACGUGUGGGGUAUCUAUGGAUAGGUCUUCAAAAAUGAUAUUAAGGUUUCUAAUAUCAUUUUUUUCUAAACUGAAUAGUUUGUGCGAGAGACACUUCCAAAGUGGUAAAAUGUGUGUGUGU